rnacentral:lncRNA from 1 species
GGAGGUAGGAUACUAGCCAUUGCUGAUAACAGCAGCUGCUGUUUUUCACUUACUAUACAACUGUCAAGUGCUGGGAGCCCAACUCAAGACUGAUGUGUGCUUGGCAGGCAGUCUACCCCCGAUCUCAGUCCUCCAGCCUUUCGGCCUUUUUUCCUUUUUGGAGACAGAAUUGCAUCAUAUGGCAUCCUACACAGUCCUGCCUCAGUCUCUGCAGUGCUGGGAUUGUAGGCCUAUGCCACCUAGCCUUUCUACAAUACAAACAAAUAUGAAAAGAAGAGGGACUUCUUUGGAAAGGAGUACAGGGACUAUGGAAGAGAUGAAAAGAUAAUAUUGUCAGAAAUUAUGCCGCUUUUGAAGAGAUAAACUGAACUCUUGAUUCUGUGAGGUUAUUAAAGAAUAUUAAUUUUCAAAUCACGGUAAAAUCUUGAUUCAGCAACACAUGAGGAUAAUCAUUGUGUCCAUGGAAACCUUGGGAAGCAGUUGAAAGCCUGGUCCCUCUUGCCUGGAGCAUUAACACAACGUGGCUGCAAAGUUAGUCCUUUCCCGCUACCAUCUCCUGAAUACUGGGACUAACUACACGUAUGCACGAACCUGCCCAUCUUUGCCUCUGUUAACAGCUGCCACUGUCUCUUCACGACAUGAUGGCUGACCUAGGUUGGAAGGAACAGAGCCAGUUGGCCAUGGACUGAAACUUUUGGAACUGAUUCUGAGGAGUUAAUGUUUCCAUGAAUAUCUCAGAAGGAGAUGUGGACAAACGAACAGUUAUCUCACUCCUGUAGUGUGGCUCAAGGUAAGCCCACCUUCCUGAGUGAUUGUCCCUUGGCCAAGCACAUGACUCAGCCCAACUGGAUUAAUUUGUAAGGGAGGAGACAAUGGCAUGCCUGCACCCAGAGGACAACUUGAGCAGAAUCUAAGAGAUUCCUUUAAUUACAAGGUGCAAAUGUCUGCUUGGCAUUAGAUUUGCUGUCUCUUUGGAAGGUGUGCCGCAUCUUUAGAAAAUCUGUAUCCUUUAUGCCUGCUGCUACCCCCAGAAUCUUAAGACAAGGGUUGGACUACAGUGAUCACUGAGUAGGAGCUUCGUCUUUAAAAUCUGGGGUGUGCUGUUAUGCAAUCUUCUUUCCCUGCCCAGUACUGGAUCUGUGAAAAGCUGAAUCAUGAAUCAGUGAGUGUGCGGAUUGGAACCCAAGUUGCUCUCUGGAUAGAACGAAAGGAGUCGUGCCCCAAGAAGAUGGAGAGGGAAGUUAUGAAAUGCUGUGACCAAAUAACAAAUGCUGAUGUUUGGGGAGAUAACUGUUUCCCAUAGGAAAUAGAGUGAAUGCGAUGUCUUUCUUUUGUGAGGGAUUCAUAGACCGCUUCUCAACGCUUGUUACAUGUUACUCCUUUUUUCGAGAUUUUUAUUUACCUAACUGGGAAAGAAACCAGAACAAGGUUUUCAUUGAAUUCUGAUACAGGUAUUUAAAGACUUACGGACAAGAUAUAGAAGAAGAAGUGGUAAUUAACUGAUUAAAGAAGUACAGUUUAUAUCCAGUAGACAGACAGGCUCCAGACAUCCUUAGUGCUGUCUUAGCAUCAAAGGUUAAUCUACCUAAUACUUGUCAUCCUGAAAUGCAUGGUGGAACAUCCAACAGACAAGAGCUACUUCAGGGAAGGACUAUGAUUUUUGUCGUGGAAGACAUUUAACACAGGGCAGCUCCUGUGCACUUACAUGAUAGAUAUUGCUCUUCCGGGGACUCUGAAUGCUCAUCCCACUUUCAGCUCACUAGGCACAUCGAACUAGAAAUUUUAUCAUCUCGUGAAUUAGUCCAAUACCUGAAGGAGCAAGAGAACCAACACCCAGUUGACAAGAAUAUGACCUGUUGAUUGAAGACCAUUAAGAAAGUAACUUGAUUCAGUUGGACUGGACUUUUUUAUUCUAUUGAAAAAGGAAUUUAUUUCCCCUCAGUGAACGUAACAUGAUCAACAUUUUGAAAGUUGUGAACAUGCAUAGUUCUAUAAUUUACAAAAUAAUUAUAAAAAUCUGAGUAUGGAUGCAGCAUAAUUUCAGAACAGAAUAGCCAUCAUACUUUUUAUAUAUCUUAAAUUCGAGUUUUCAAGAGUAUAUUUCUAUGUUAUAUCCUUUGAUUAGUACAAUAUAAAAUCUACAUCUAAUAUGUACUUCAGGUUUUAUUAGAUCAUGCCAUAUUACUGUACAAUUUGGACUUUUCCAUUUUUAUAUAAAAUGUAACAUGCAUUGUACAUUAAUAUUUAUAUAUCUUGUUUAUUUAUAUAUCUUUAGAAUUAAUUUCUGCCAAUUAUUUUCUUUAUUUGAAUACUUGGGGUAUCAUAAAGGUGCUGUUGAGGUAUUCUCAAUAUGCUUGUACAACUUCCUGCCUGUAGUUAAUAAAUGUGGAUAUUUCAUUAAACAAUUGAAAUAUAA